rnacentral:rRNA from 1 species
UACGUAGGGUGCAAGCGUUGUCCGGAAUUAUUGGGCGUAAAGAGCUCGUAGGCGGUUUGUCGCGUCUGCUGUGAAAACCCGAGGCUCAACCUCGGGCCUGCAGUGGGUACGGGCAGACUAGAGUGCGGUGGGGGAGAUUGGAAUUCCUGGUGUAGCGGUGGAAUGCGCAGAUAUCAGGAGGAACACCGAUGGCGAAGGCGGAUCUCUGGGCCUUACCUGACGCUGAGGCGCGAAAGCUAGGGGAGCAAACAGG